UGGUGUUGCUGGUCCUAGAUGGGAAGGCAUAGUUACGCUUGAGGAGUCCCCAUCUUCCGAUCUUUGUGGUAAGUCUAUGUUGUAGCUUGGUCUGUAAGCCGCCGAAAGUCUACCUGCAAACGCAGCAUUACAACCAUCAGGUAUGUUGGAGCUCCAAGAGUGUAUUCCAUUCUUUGCUAUGUAUAAAAAGAUCGGCCGUUACAUGCUUCUGUGACUUCCAUAGAAUGUACACUAUAACUUUGUUCUGUUUCUUAAAAAGAUUAUGCAUCUGUCAAGUGUCAUGGUAUCAAGAUCUAGUUAAAGAGCAGGUUGGCAUGCAGUGGACAUUAAAGAACUGAAAAAAAGUGCGGGUUUUGCAUUGUGUAUCAUGAAACUAGGAUGGACAGGUGACCUAAUUCUAAUACAUACUUUGAUUUGUUUCACCAAUUUUAAGCCAAAAGUAAAUGGUUUCAAGAACUAUGUGACAUUUCAGUGUUUCUUUUGAACUAAUGCAUAUUCAUUUGAAGAACCAUGUGAUAUAUCAGUGUUACUUAGAUAAUUUAUCAGAAGCCAAUAUGUUAUUGUCUACUAAUUUAAGUGCAAGAUAAAAGGCUGAAACAACAAAUAUAUCAAGAAUAUUUUACUUACUGCUUGGCAUUUGUUGCAGGUUGUAACCACCAAUAUCCUGUUUUUGCACGGCCUUCUUCGCAGCAGAGGUUAUUUCGUCUCCGUUCAUUCCCAGGGCAUCCCCUGUCCCCAUCAGCUCUGCCAAAGAAUUAACCUUUCUAGGAGUAACCAUAUCUCCCACAUUCUGCAGAUGGGAGCCUGCAUAUCCGGCAUUUUGGUCGAAGCUUCUGUAUUCUUCGACUGGAGCAGCAUCUUGUAUGCUGUGGUUCCAGUUACUCUCCCCGACUAGUCCAGCUGAGCCAGAACUGCAAGGCAGCAUCUU
rnacentral:lncRNA from 1 species